rnacentral:rRNA from 1 species
GUACGGGAGGCAGCAGUGGGGAAUAUUGGACAAUGGGCGCAAGCCUGAUCCAGCCAUGCCGCGUGAGUGAUGAAGGCCUUAGGGUUGUAAAGCUCUUUUGUCCGGGACGAUAAUGACGGUACCGGAAGAAUAAGCCCCGGCUAACUUCGUGCCAGCAGCCGCGGUAAUACGAAGGGGGCUAGCGUUGCUCGGAAUCACUGGGCGUAAAGGGCGCGUAGGCGGUCUUUUAAGUCGGGGGUGAAAGCCUGUGGCUCAACCACAGAAUUGCCUUCGAUACUGGGAGACUUGAGUUCGGUAGAGGUUGGUGGAACUGCGAGUGUAGAGGUGAAAUUCGUAGAUAUUCGCAAGAACACCGGUGGCGAAGGCGGCCAACUGGACCGACACUGACGCUGAGGCGCGAAAGCGUGGGGAGCAAACAGGAUUAGAAACCCCAGUAGUCC